rnacentral:rRNA from 1 species
UAACACAUGCAAGUCGAGGGGUAACAUUAUAGCUUGCUAUAGAUGACGACCGGCGCACGGGUGCGUAACGCGUAUACAAUCUACCUUUUACUGGAGGAUAGCCCUAAGAAAUUGGGAUUAAUACUGCAUAACAAGAUUCAAUUGCAUGAUUGAAUUUUCAAAGCUUCGGCGGUAAGAGAUGAGUAUGCGUAAUAUUAGCUAGUUGGUAAGGUAACGGCUUGCCAAGGCUACGAUAUUUAGGGGGCCUGAGAGGGUUAUCCCCCACACUGGUACUGAGACACGGACCAGACUCCUACGGGAGGCAGCAGUGAGGAAUAUUGGUCAGUGGAGGCAACUCUGAACCAGCCAUGCCGCGUGAAGGAAGAAUGUCCUAUGGAUUGUAAACUUCUUUUAUUUGGGAAGAAACCUACUCACGUGUGAGUAGCUGACGGUACCAAAAGAAUAAGGACCGGCUAACUCCGUGCCAGCAGCCGCGGUAAUACGGAGGGUCCAAGCGUUAUCCGGAAUCAUUGGGUUUAAAGGGUUCGCAGGCGGUUUAUUAAGUCAGUGGUGAAAUCCCAUAGCUCAACUAUGGAACUGCCAUUGAUACUGAUAGACUUGAAUGUAGUUGGAGUAGGCGGAAUGUGUAGUGUAGCGGUGAAAUGCUUAGAUAUUACACAGAACACCGAUAGCGAAGGCAGCUUACUAAACUAUAAUUGACGCUCAUGAACGGAAAGCGUGGGGAGCGAACAGGAUUAGAUACCCCUGGUAGUCCACGCCGUAAACGAUGAUUACUCGAUAUUGGCGAUAUACGGGUCAGUGUCUAAGGCGAAAGUGAUAAGUAAUCCACCUGGGGAGUACGGUCGCAAGAUUGAAACUCAAAUGAAUUGACGG